rnacentral:tRNA from 1 species
AACGAAAGAUUGACGAUUGGUAAGAAUCCACAACAAGUUGUUCUUCAUAGAUGUAUCUGAGGGUCUGUAGCUCAGUUGGUUAGAGCACACGCUUGAUAAGCGUGGGGUCACAAGUUCAAGUCUUGUCAGACCCACCAUGACUUUGACUGGUUAAAGUUAUAGAUAAAAGAUACAUGACUGAUGAUGUAAGCUGGGGACUUAGCUUAGUUGGUAGAGCGCCUGCUUUGCACGCAGGAGGUCAGGAGUUCGACUCUCCUAGUCUCCACCAGAACUUAAGAGAAGUUCGGAUUACAGAAAUUAGUAAAUAGAGAUUUAGAUCUUGGUUUAUUAACUUCUGUGAUUUAAGUAUCACGGUAUUAAGCAUGACCUGACGAAGGCGUGUUUAUUCAUUAACAGAUUGGCAAAAUUGAGUCUGAAAUAAAUUGUUCACUCAAGAGUUUAGAUUAAGCAAUUAAUCUAGAUGAAUUGAGAACUAGCAAAUUAACUGAAUCAAGCGUUUUGGUAUAUGAAUUUAGAUUGAAGCUGUACAGUGUUUAAGUACACAGACAACAGAUAGUAGCGAUGAAGAAUCGCACGGACAACACUCACUUGUAGGUGUUGACGACUGUUUGGGGUUGUAUAGUCAAGUAAUUAAGUGCAUGUGGUGGAUGCCUUGGCA